rnacentral:rRNA from 1 species
CAAUAGCGUAUAUUAAAGUUGUUGCAGUUAAAAAGCUCGUAGUUGGAUGUCGACCACAGCUGUGCGGUCCGCCGAGUGCGGCUACUGCACGGUUGGGUCUCUUAUCCGGACCCAUCCCAGGCUACUCUUUGCUGAGCGGCUUGGGUGGCCGGAACGUUUACUUUGAGAAAAUCAGCGUGCUCAAAGCAGGCUUACUGCUCGAAUAGUAGUGCAUGGAAUAAUGGAAUAGGACCUUCGGCCCUAUUUGUUGGUUUUUGGACCGAGGUAAUGGUUAAUAGAGACAGACGGGGGCAUUCGUACUGCGGUGUUAGAGGUGAAAUUCGAAGAUCGCCGCAAGACGAACAACAGCGAAAGCAUUUGCCAAGGAUGUUUUCAUUAAUCAAGAACGAAAGUCGGAGGUU